CCAGUGUUGUGUCUGUGAGCGUCUGCUCUUCACACACACAUCACACACACACACACACACACACACACACACACUCACACUCACACACACACUCACACGAAGAAUAAAAAAUGAACGAGAGAGAGAGAGAGAGGGGAAAUCGAAUAAUUCUGGGAGACGUAAAUAAAAAUAGUGCUACGGUCACAAACAUUCAGCAUUUUAUUUUUUUUUUCCUUUUGUUUUCUUUUUUAUGUGAAGAAUGCGCUUGUAUUUACAUCCAUAUUUAAAAAAAAAAAAAAAAAAAAAAAAAAAAAAAAAAAGGAUGGUAGCGAAGUGUACAAGCGUAGAAAAAAAAAAGGAAAAAAAAAAAAAAAAGGAGCUGAUAUUUACACCCGUCCGUCUCUGGAGAAAGAACGCAGGAGGAACCACCUAUACAAUUAAAUUACACUUUCUACAAAUAACCGUGGAAAUUCAAAAAAAUAAAACCGCUCACGGUGAACAGGAAGUUAUUUCUCUCUCGAACUCGCACGAACAGUCGUGAUGAACACGUUAACACGUAUGGACCAACAAAUACAACGUCUUUCUCACACACACACACACUAAAGAAGUGCAGACUCCCGGAGCGGCGAAGCGGCCUAACAGAAAGGUCUCUUCUUGAUUUCUGCAGAUAUUAUUAUUAUUUUUUUAUCAGUUACAUGGAUUAAAAAAAAUAAUUCUGUAUUUUUUUCCUCUAUACAAAAAGCAUUUUUUCUUUCGCUAUAAAUGAAGCGCUAGAUAAAACGAAUAAAUGACGUGAGGAUUUCAGAAAAGGAAAAGGGGAAGAAAAAAAAAAAGAGAGAAAAAAAGGGAAGUUGACGUGGAAUGUCCAUCGUACAUGUGCGAAAAAGAGAACGGGGGAAAACUAAAAAGACGUCUAGUGAGAGAGGACGACUGGAAGUGUGUAUCAGGGAAGAAGAAGAAGAAGAAGAAGAAAAAGGGAGAGGGGUUUAGGUUGUGUAAUGAGCACCACUGAGCCGCCAUCUUGUUUUCCGUAAAGUCUCUCCAGAUCGGGUUACGGUCCGUGUAAGUGUACCCUUGUAGCCUCGCCCUGUUUCCUGGGUGUAAAGGUGCGUAAAAAACUAUUUACACUACGACCGAGUCGCCUAUGUUACAUUUUGUCCAAUCAUCCGCCGCCGUUUUCUCAUUAUGAGUUCGUUUUAGCGGGCGGGUGAAGUGGGUGGAGUCAGUGCCACCCCGUCCCCAUGUAUCCGGUGUUAUGAAAUGCUGCGGCGGAAGGAGGCGGACCUCGGGUUUGUGUCGCGUUAGGAUUGGAAGAGGACCCUUGAGAAGGCGGGGUGGGUUGCGGUGGAGGGGGAGGAGGGGGCGGGGCCGUGCUGCUCUGGAAGUGGAGCGUGUGGUGAGACUGGAGCAGAGUCUGCGAGCCGGGAGGGAAGGGCGUCGAGACGGCUGCUUUGAACUGUGUAGGGAAGAACGGCGAGGAAGUCGGGGGUACCGGAGGGGGCGGGGGAGGAGGGGGCGGGGCGUUCUGAGGGCUGUACUGCGAUUGGUUAGGGGGCGGGGCGGUCAGGAAAGUCCUCUGGCCGCGAUAGGGCGAACCCUGCGGCUGAGGCUGAGAUUUAGGGGUGAUAGGGAGGGAAGGAGCGGCGUAGUGCCCCUGGGAGGGGUGCUUGCUGGGAGUCAGAGGGGUGGAUUUGGACAGCGGUGGCUUGGACGAGGACGGCUGGGGCACGGGACGGGACUGAGGGUCGCUGUCCUCUUCUUUAGACGAGCGAAGGGAGGAGUGGGAUACGGAGCUCGGACCUGGAGACGGAGACUGAGAGAAAGAAGGACACAGUUAGCAUGACGAGGGCAAGAAACUCGUUAUAUCACGUUAUAUUCAGUCGUGUUUGUGUGUGU
ensembl:lncRNA